AUAAAAAUUUAUGCAUGGACCCCCUCCCCCACCUAAUUUUCGGUUUUAGCUAUGUGGCCCCCACCAAAUUUUGCAAGAUUAGGAAAAUAUUCCUUUUUACUCUCAUUGGCCAAGUGUGGUGCAUGUAAUCAUUCCAUGUUCCCCAUAUCUUCCAUAUAAUCCUCCAACUUCCAAGAACCAUCAUCACCUCUCUCUCUCCUCCCUCCCAACCGUCCCCCAUCUCUCUCUCUCCAUCUUCAAACCUUCAAACUCUUGUUCUUCAUGUUCAUCACUAUUUCUAACAACCUUCAAGUGGUGUGAAGAUUCAAGGGUGAUCUCAAGGUGUUCUCUAGUGAUUCAAGCUUCCCAUCAUCUUCACUAGAAUUUCUACCCUAGCUUUGUGCUAGUAGUUGUCGUGUAGCGGACAGGGUUUGAGAUUCGAUUCAAGACGCACUACUGAGCUGUUGCUUAGGAUGUUCGUGACACACUAGGGCGGGCCUAUGCCUUAGAGACUAAAAUAAAGAUGGAACCAGUUUAAUUAUGUGAUGAACACUUUGUUUCAGUUAAUUUAAGACUAUGUAACCUUUGCUUGAUGAAUAAAACAUAACUUUUAAUUACCAUGGUUGUGAAACAAUAAUUCUGUUA